rnacentral:rRNA from 1 species
AUUGAACGCUGGCGGCAUGCUUUACACAUGCAAGUCGAACGGCAGCGCGGGCUUCGGCCCGGCGGCGAGUGGCGAACGGGUGAGUAAUACAUCGGAACGUGCCCAGUAGUGGGGGAUAGCUCGGCGAAAGCCGGAUUAAUACCGCAUACGACCUGAGGGUGAAAGCGGGGGAUCUUCGGACCUCGCGCUAUUGGAGCGGCCGAUGGCAGAUUAGCUAGUUGGUGGGGUAAAGGCCUACCAAGGCGACGAUCUGUAGCUGGUCUGAGAGGACGACCAGCCACACUGGGACUGAGACACGGCCCAGACUCCUACGGGAGGCAGCAGUGGGGAAUUUUGGACAGUGGGCGAAAGCCUGAUCCAGCAAUGCCGCGUGUGUGAUGAAGGCCUUCGGGUUGUAAAGCACUUUUGGCGGGAACGAAAAGGACUGUGCCAAUACCACGGUUCGAUGACGGUACCCGCAGAAUAAGCACCGGCUAACUACGUG